AGUGAACGCUGGCGGUAGGCCUAACACAUGCAAGUCGAACGGCAGCACAGUAAGAGCUUGCUCUUACGGGUGGCGAGUGGCGGACGGGGGAGGAAUACAUCGGAAUCUACUUUUUCGUGGGGGAUAAAGUAGGGAAACUUACGCUAAUACCGCAGACGACGUACGGGUGAAAGCAGGGGAUCUUCGGACCUUGCGCGAUUGAAUGAGCCGAUGUCGGAUUAGCGAGUUGGCGGGGUAAAGGCCCACCAAGGCGACGAUCCGUAGCUGGUCUGAGAGGAUGAUCAGCCACACUGGAACUGAGACACGGUCCAGACUCCUACGGGAGGCAGCAGUGGGGAAUAUUGGACAAUGGGCGCAAGCCUGAUCCAGCCAUACCGCGUGUGUGAAGAAGGCCUUCGGGUUGUAAAGCCCUUUUGGUGGGAAAGAAAAGCAGCAGGUUAAUACCCCGCUGUUCUGACGUUACCCAAAGAAUAAGCACCGGCUAACUUCGUG
rnacentral:rRNA from 1 species